AUGAAGGUCGUCGCUUUGAACUACAGGGGGCUUGGGAACCAGCCGGCAGUCGAGGGCCUUCUGGAGCUACAGAAGGCUGAAGACCCUGACAUCCUCUUUCUUUCAGAAACAAGGUUGGACAGGGAGAGGAUGAAGCGACUUAAGGUGUUGUUGGGAAUGCCCAACAUGGAGGUAAAGGACUGUGAGGGGCAAAGUGGUGGCUUGGCCCUUCUCUGGAAGAAGGAUGUAAAUGUAAGAGCGAACCCUGGGAUGUCGCGCUACCACAUCGACGCGGACGUCACUUGGGAGGAUGGGUUCGUCUGGAGGCUUACUGGUAUUUAUGGUGAACCGAAGCACGGGGAGAAAGAGAAGACUUGGAAACUCUUGCGCAUCCUUCAUGGCCGUUCCGCUCUGCCUUGGAUGUGUUUCAGUGACUUCAAUGAGAUCCUCUUUGCAAGUGAGAACGGGGGUCCGGAUAGAUCCCAUGCCUGCAUGGAUAAAUUCCGGAGUGCUCUGGAAUUUUGUGAGCUCGAGGAUUUGGGCUUUGUGGGGGACCCUUACACUUGGCGCAAUCACAGUCACCGGGCAGACACUUACAUUAAGGAGAGGCUUGAUCGGGAUGUCGCAAACUUGGGAUGGCGCUCCCAUUUCCCGGCCUACAAGGCAAUCAAUGGGGAUCCAAUGCACUCCGAUCACAGACCUGUGAUUGUGGUUUUGGAACCGGAAUACCGGGGCAAUAGCACUGGGUGCGUGUUUGAACAACCAAAAUUCAAGGCAAGGUGGAUUGAGGAGGAGCAAUGCGAUGAGGUGGUGUGCAAUGCCUGGCACUUGGUAAUGCUAACUGGCGAUAGAGGGAUAGCUGCGGCAAUCAGAAGAGUGGGGAUGGAACUGCACACAUGGAGCAAAGAGGUCUUGGGCGAUCUAAAGAACCGUAUCAAGAAGGUCAAGAAGGAGCUCAAUCGCUGCAGGAAAAGAGCCAUCUCCCAGGAGCAAGUCUCUCUUGAGCAGAUGCUAAGGUACAAGCUUGAGAGACUGCAAGACCAAAAAAAUACUUAUUGGAAGCAGCGAGCGAAGGCUCAUUGGCUGCAUGAUGGAGAUCGAAACACUAGCUUCUUCCAUGCUUGUGCCUCGGAGAGGCACAGGGUGAACUUGAUCAAAUCUCUCAAGAAUGAUGAGGACGGUGUGGUGGAGGGGGAGGAGGAGCUGAGAACCUUUAUCACUAACUACUACAAGCAACUUUUCUCUUCUCGUGCAGGAACUAGAGCGGCUGAGCUCCUUGACAAGGUCUCCCCCAUUGUUACUGCUGAGAUGAAUGUCUUCCUUAAGAGACCUUUCACCAUUGAAGAAAUAAAAUUGGCUCUUAAUUCCAUGGGUGAUUUGAAGGCCGCGGGUCCAGAUGGCAUGCUAGCGGUCUUUUAUAAGCGCUUCUGGGAUCUAGUAGGGGACGUGGUGUAGGGCGAAGUUCUUGAGGUUCUGAACGGUGGCCAAAUUCCAGUGGGCUGGAACGAAAUGGUCAUUGUCUUGAUCCCCAAAGUCAAGAAUCCAACCCACCUUAAGGAGUUGCGGCCGAUCAGCCUUUGCAACGUGGUGUUUAAGAUUGUCACAAAGGUGAUUGCUUGUCGGAUGAAGGAGGUGCUUGAUGUGGUCAUUUCUCCUAGCCAGAGUGCCUUUGUCUCCGGACAGCUGAUUACCGACAAUAUUCUGAUCGCUUAUGGGACCACCCAUUUCAUGCGCCAGAUGAAGGGAGGUAGAGAUGGGCUUGCAGCUGUCAAGCUGGAUAUGAGUAAGGCUUUUGACCGUGUUGAAUGGUCUUUCUUGGAGAAGAUAAUGCUGAAGCUGGGUUUCUCUAAUAGCUGGGUGCAGCUGGUGAUGCGUUCUGUGACCACGGUCACAUACAGGGUAAAGGUGAACACGAAUCUGACUGAGGUGGUGGUACCUAAGUGUGGCCUGAGGCAAGGGUGUCCUCUAUCACCUUACCUUUUCAUCUUUUGUGUUGAGGGGCUCUCGGCUCUCUUUCACCGGGCCGAGGAGGAUGGAUCUCUGCAGGGAGUUCAGGUUUGCCCUACGGCUCCAAAGAUAAACCACCUCUUCUUUGCCGAUGACUCCUUGAUCUUUAUGAAGGCGAAUGAGCCAAGUGCUCGAAGGCUCCAAGAGAUCCUUGCUCUCUACGAUGAUGCGUCUGGCCAAAUAAUAAACAAGGAAAAGUCCGCUGUUAUGUUCAGCAAGGGAACUUCUCAGCGAGCAAAAAGGAAUUUUCAGAGGAUUUUACAAAUUCGAGACGAAGCUUUCAAUGAAAGAUACCUUGGUCUGCCAAUUUUCUUGGGUAGAUAA
rnacentral:rRNA from 1 species